GAUGAACGCUGACAGAAUGCUUAACACAUGCAAGUCAACUUGAAUUUGGGUUUUUAACUUAAGUUUGGGUGGCGGACGGGUGAGUAACGCGUAAAGAACUUGCCUCACAGCUAGGGACAACAUUUGGAAACGAAUGCUAAUACCUAAUAUUAUGAUAAUAGGGCAUCCUAUAAUUAUGAAAGCUAUAAGCGCUGUGAGAGAGCUUUGCGUCCCAUUAGCUAGUUGGAGAGGUAACUGCUCACCAAGGCGAUGAUGGGUAGCCGGCCUGAGAGGGUGAUCGGCCACAAGGGGACUGAGACACGGCCCUUACUCCUACGGGAGGCAGCAGUGGGGAAUAUUGGACAAUGGACCAAGAGUCUGAUCCAGCAAUUCUGUGUGCACGAUGAAGUUUUUCGGAAUGUAAAGUGCUUUCAGUUGGGAAGAAAGAAAUGACGGUACCAACAGAAGAAGUGACGGCUAAAUACGUGCCAGCAGCCGCGGUAAUACGUAUGUCACGAGCGUUAUCCGGAUUUAUUGGGCGUAAAGCGCGUCUAGGUGGUUAUGUAAGUCUGAUGUGAAAAUGCAGGGCUCAACUCUGUAUUGCGUUGGAAACUGUAUAACUAGAGUACUGGAGAGGUAAGCGGAACUACAAGUGUAGAGGUGAAAUUCGUAGAUAUUUGUAGGAAUGCCGAUGGGGAAAGCCAGCUUACUGGACAGAUACUGACGCUGAAGCGCGAAAGCGUGGGUAGCAAAACAGG
rnacentral:rRNA from 1 species